AUGGUGUGCUCUCCUCACAUCGUGUUCCUUACUGACACCUGUGCCAUCAUGCUCCUGCUCUCUCGGCUGAUUUUUGCUACACUCAUAGGUUGCAGUUGCAGUCAAACAAUAAAGCCCAUGAAGUCUGAAGAGUAUGUGUCAGAGGGAGAAAACAUUACUAUUGGCUGCAAAUAUGAAGGAUUUGGUCAAUUUGAUGUCAAGAACCUACAAUGGUAUUCCCAAUACCCUGCAUCGAAACCAGAGUUCCUGCUUCUAAUUCUUCAUGGUACUGGUCAAAUUGACCCAAAACAUCAUCGUUUUAACACCAGACUCAACGAGAAGACCCAGGUUUUUCUAGACAUCCCAUCAGCUACAGUGUCAGACUCAGCAAUCUACUACUGCGCCCUGCAGCCCACAGUGAGAGGAAACAUGGAGACACAAUACAAAAACUAA